GCUGGUGUGGCUCAAUGGCAGAGCGAUCGCCUUGUAAGCGAUGGGUAGCAGGUUCAAGUCCUGUCACCAGCCCCA
rnacentral:tRNA from 1 species